rnacentral:rRNA from 1 species
GGGGUAAACCUGCGAAACUCGAAUGAACGAACGGAGAGAUUCACCGUCAUUCCGCGGCGUACGGAUGCGCGUCGCGAUGCCCGCCCACCUCGGCCGGCGGGCACGUCGCGCAUCCGUCGACGUCCGUGGACGGCGUGCACUUCUCUCUCAGUAAACAUACAUCGCGACCCGUUCGAUGUCGGUCUAAGCGCCGUUCGGGAGCCCCGCUGUCCCCUAGCGGGGGCGACGGGACCGUUUACGGACGCCGACCGGCCGUCGGACGGUAUUAUUGAUGAAACGCGCACGCGCUUACGGCGCGUCCGGCCCGACGCAAGUCAACGUCGUAUCCGACGUACCGCCCGAGCGCGGACGUAGGUGCGGCGCGUCUGCGUGUAGCCGCCGUGCAGUAUCGGACUGUGCGCGUCUCCGUCUGCGAUGAUUCAGUUUCGGGCACUCGCAGGACCCGUCUUGAAACACGGACCAAGGAGUCUAGCAUGUAUGCGAGUCAUUGAGAUCAAUAUUUAAACUGAAAGGCGUAACGAAAGUGAAGGCGUGCGCUCGUCGCGCGCUCAGGGAGGAUGGAGCGCGGAUCUAGGUCCGCCUCUCGCACUCCCGAGGCGUCUCGUUUCCAAUCCGUGAAUGCAGGCGCGCUC